AGCGAACGUUUGCGGCGGGCCUAACACAUGCAAGUCGAACGCACUAGCAAUAGUGAGUGGCGCACGGGUGCGUAACACGUGGGUAAUCAACCCUUCAGCUUGGGAUAACGACUUGAAAGGGUCGCUAAUACCGGAUACGGCGAGAGAGGCUUCGGCAUUUCUCGAGAAAGCCUCGCAAGGGGCACUGAAGGACGAGCCUGCGGCCCAUCAGCUAGUUGGUGAGGUAAGAGCUCACCAAGGCGAAGACGGGUAGCUGGUCUGAGAGGAUGAUCAGCCACACUGGAACUGAGACACGGUCCAGACUCCUACGGGAGGCAGCAGUGGGGAAUAUUGCGCAAUGGGCGAAAGCCUGACGCAGCCACGCCGCGUGAGCGAUGAAGGCCUUCGGGUCGUAAAGCUCUGUGGGGAGAGACGAAGAAAGCCCGUGAAGAGCGGGCCUUGACGGUAUACUCCUUAGCAAGCACCGGCUAACUCCGUGCCAGCAGCCGACGG
rnacentral:rRNA from 1 species